CCUACGGGCGACAGCAGUGAGGAAUAUUGGUCAAUGGCCGGAAGGCUGAACCAGCCAAGCCGCGUGAAGGACGAAGGUGCCACGCAUUGUAAACUUCUUUUGUCAAGGGACAAAAUCAGGCACGAGAGCCUGACCGAGGGUACUUGAAGAAAAAGCAUCGGCUAACUCCGUGCCAGCAGCCGCGGUAAUACGGAGGAUGCGAGCGUUAUCCGGAUUUAUUGGGUUUAAAGGGUGCGUAGGCGGACUGUUAAGUCAGCGGUAAAAGCCCGGGGCUCAACCCCGGCGAGCCGUUGAAACUGGCGGUCUUGAGAUGUCGAGAGGUAUGCGGAAUGCGCAGUGUAGCGGUGAAAUGCUUAGAUAUUGCGCAGAACUCCGAUUGCGAAGGCAGCAUACCGGCGGCGAUCUGACGCUGAGGCACGAAAGCGUGGGUAUCGAACAGGAUUAGAUACCCUUGUAGUC
rnacentral:rRNA from 1 species